rnacentral:lncRNA from 1 species
GGCGCGCGGGGUCGAGGUCGUGGGCGCGGCCGAAGAAGCCGACGAGGGGCGGCGCGGGGCCGGAGCGGGAGGAAGAAGAAGAAGAAGAAGAGGGAAAAAAAAAAAAAAGUGCUCCAGCAGGAGGAAGAAAAAGAAGAAAAAGAAAAAGAGAAAAAAAAAUUGCUCCUGCAGGAAGAAGAAGAAGAAGAAGAGUCCGCCUGGCGGUGCUCCGGCGACGCGCCCGCCUGGCCUUUGCUCUUUUUUUUCGGUGAAAAAAAAAAGAACGAGAGAACGAAGAGGAGAGAGAAAGAGGAAAGAGAAAAAGUAAUAAGGGUAUUUUGGUCAGUUUGCUGAAAAAGCGGACCGAAUUUGCAAAAACGAAAAAUGUGACCCGAUUUUGCAAAAGCCCAAAAUAAGUGGAUUUUUUAUGCAAAAAGACCAAAAUUCUUUCAAAAUUUUAUUUGGGCAACUCACCUGAGAAACACGAUGAAUUAUUCAUAUUAUUAUAAAGCGAUAAAUGAUUUGCCGUUUUCAUAUUGUUAUUUUUGUUUUAUAUGUUGUGAAGAUUUUUUUGAGGUUGUUAAUAUUGUAUGAGGAUUAUUAAAUUUUUAUUUAUAGUUAAAAUUAUAUAGAUAAGUUGUUAAGAUAUUUUAAGGUGUAAGGAUUAUAUGUGAUUUGUUGAAAUUUUUAUGUAGUUGUUAAGUAUAUAUGGGAAUAAAAAAAAUGAUAAAGAGAAAUAGAAAAGAAAAAGAGAGUGAAUGUUUCACCGUCUUCUAAAUUUCAUUAAUGAUUGACCGUUUUUCAAUUAUUUUUAUACCCUAACACUGAGUUGGAUAAAAUAGAGUAAUUUCAACAAAUAAAUUUUUUACAAGAUUAUUUAGCCAAUUAU